CCGCCGCAGGCAGGGAGCCCGCUCCCCGGCUCGUCAGCACCCGCCCGCCCGCGCGGAGGAGGCCGUGCUCCAUUUGCUUUCAUUUUCCUUCUCCCCCCUGAAAUGGGCUCGUUUCACCUCUCCGCUGCCCUCUCCCCCUCCCCGCCCCCUCCCCGGUUCCCCUCUUCUUUCCCCCCUUCUCGUUCCUGGUCCCUCUUUGUUGGGAAAAACACACCCACACACAACUCCUCCUGGCUAAGGCCUGCGCUGGAAGCAGAAACUGAAUGCUCCUGGCCCGCCGCGAGGAGACCGCGUCCUGCCCCCACCCCAGGGCGUUGGGCAGAGACCCGGAAGACUCCGUCCCUCUGGCUUGGUCCAAUCCCGCCUCGGGAAGCGCCUUCGUUACCUGCUCCUCGGCUCCCCACGGCCACAGAUGCAGGGCAGCCGCCUCCCGCCGGGGGAGGGAAGCCCCGGCCACCGCAGCCGCCGCCGCUGCCCGCCCUCCUUCCCUCCCUCCCUCUUUCUCGCCCUCCCUCCCUCUCUCCCUCCCUCGCGCGCUGCCGCUCGCGGGGCCCUCCCGCGGGCAACCUGUUCUGGACCAAAUCCAGGUAUCUCCGAAAGAGAGAGAGAGAGAGAGAGAGAGAGAAGGACCUCUUACGUGGAAAAGAAAGAAAGAAAGAAAGACCCUUAACCGCGUUUAUUUUCCAAGCUCUGACCACUGGCCGGCCUCUGUUCAGACGCCCUGGACACGGCCCUGUAGCAGCAGAGGUGUGCGGGGCCUGCUGCCUCGCCCACGCUGACCGCCGCGCCCCUCGCACAGCGCGCUCCACACUCUGGGCCGCCGCCCCCCGGCAGCCCAAACACCAAACAGACCUCAAGGUCCUUCCUACAGACUCAACAUCCGGUCGCCCGCCUCGAGGCUGGCCUCCGCCCGCCCCGGAGCCCGCUCUGCUCCGUCUGCGGCCAAAGUCCACACACAAUCCACCUUGCCCGUGCUCUCGCGCCGGGCCCGGACGCCCCUCCUGGCCGAGGCGCCCGCCGGGCCACACUCGGCCCACGGUCCUGCCCGGGACUGCAAACCUCGUCCCCUGCACGGGACCCACACAAAGCCCAGUGCCCUGACGCUCCCACCCGCAGCCCCCAGUCCCCAGCCGCUGCUGCCCUUCACCUGUUCCCGAGAAAGGCUGCGUCUCCGAGCCGGGGCAAAGCCGUGGGCCUGGGCGGAGGGUGCCGGGGGAACCGGGGAGCCGAGGUCCCAGGGAGGCUACAGAAGAUCCGCCGGGCUAAGCCGGAGCCCCCGCAGCCCGCGAGAUUAUCUCAGAGACCAAAGCUCUCCUUGGCGAGCUCUUGCCUUUUCCUCCGUCUCCCGCAAGUCUUAAACACUCACACGCCGAGAGUUCAGCUCUAUAAAUCCUGCUCCUCUUUCCCAUAUCAUAAUUAAAAAAAACCAGUAGGGGAGGUUUUAACUUUUAUUGCGAUUUCUGGAGUUGGGCUGCGGAGCAUAUAUUAAGUUUACGCUUAUGCGCUCUCGGCGGGGAGGGUCCUUUAAGAAAUAAAAAUCCAUCUUAAUAUCCGCA
ensembl:lncRNA